rnacentral:rRNA from 1 species
GAGGAAUAUUGGUCAAUGGACGAGGGUCUGAACCAGCCAAGUAGCGUGAAGGAUGAAGGUUCUAUGGAUUGUAAACUUCUUUUAUACGGGAAUAAACGAAUCCACGCGUGGAUUUUUGCAUGUACCGUAUGAAUAAGGAUCGGCUAACUCCGUGCCAGCAGCCGCGGUAAUACGGAGGAUCCGAGCGUUAUCCGGAUUUAUUGGGUUUAAAGGGAGCGUAGAUGGGUUGUUAAGUCAGUUGUGAAAGUUUGCGGCUCAACCGUAAAAUUGCAAUUGAUACUGGCAGUCUUGAGUACAGUUGAGGUAGGCGGAAUUCGUGGUGUAGCGGUGAAAUGCUUAGAUAUCACGAAGAACUCCGAUUGCGAAGGCAGCUUACUAACCUGUAACUGACAUUGAUGCUCGAAAGUGUGGGUAUCAAACAGGAUUAGAUACCCUGGUAGUCCACACGGUAAACGAUGAAUACUCGCUGUAGGCGAUAUACAGUCUGCGGCCAAGCGAAAGCAUUAAGUAUUCCACCUGGGGAGUACGCCGGCAACGGUGAAACUCAAAGGAAUUGACGGGGGCCCGCACAAGCGGAGGAACAUGUGGUUUAAUUCGAUGAUACGCGAGGAACCUUACCCGGGCUUAAAUUGCAACCGAAUAUGGCGGAAACGCUAUAGCUAGCAAUAGCGGUUGUGAAGGUGCUGCAUGGUUGUCGUCAGCUCGUGCCGUGAGGUGUCGGCUUAAGUGCCAUAACGAGCGCAACCCUUGCCGAUAGUUACUAACAGGUUAUGCUGAGGACUCUGUCGGGACUGCCAUCGUAAGAUGUGAGGAAGGUGGGGAUGACGUCAAAUCAGCACGGCCCUUACGUCCGGGGCUACACACGUGUUACAAUGGGGGGUACAGAGGGCUGCUACCACGCAAGUGGAUGCCAAUCCCAAAAACCUCUCUCAGUUCGGAUUGAAGUCUGCAACCCGACUUCAUGAAGCUGGAUUCGCUAGUAAUCGCGCAUCAGCCACGGCGCGGUGAAUACGUUCCCG